AGUCCUCAGAGCUCAGACAGUAGCUGCUCAUGUGUUUGUCCUUUCUAUAGAAAACAGUCCACAGACUGUUACAGAGGAAGGUCUCAGUGCUUCACUCAGUCUGUUCACACUGUGACAGAAACACACAUGAACACAUGUUCAUUUAUUCACAUGUUCACACAUGGAGAGAAGUGACAGAAUUCUGAAGCAAACACUGAAUGUGUGUGUGCACUGUUCCACUUACAGCAUGUGACAUCAAUAAUAACAGCAUCAGAGAUGUUGGUGUGUUUACAGACUCACCAAAAUAAAAGCCUGAGAACCAAACCUGGUCUGAGGCUCUGAUGCUAAGCUAACAGCAUGAUUAGCCUGUUAGCAUCUACAUGAAGGAUCAAUAACAACAUGCUGACUGUGUGUUUCUGUGUCAUGUUGCUGUGUUUGUGUGAAGGUGUGAGCUCUGCUAUGAGUCAGUGUGAGGACAGAGAGGAGGGAGUCCCUCCCUCUAAAAGCCCUCUGUGUGGGGACCAUGAGAGCCGGACCAAAGCUCAGAGGUAAGAGGACCGUCUCUGACUGUCCAUGACUCUUCUCCAUGUCAGAGCUCACACUCACAUUAUUCACACAUCUGUGUGUUCAAGAACAAAGCAGCAGCACACUGCACACUCUGCUGGACCUGGACCUGGACCUGGACCUGGGCCUGGACCUGGACCUGGACCUGGACCUGGACCUGGACCUGCCAGCUGUGUGUCCAUGAAGAGUGAUUGGUCAAAGGAUCGGCCCCCUGAUUUCAAAGAUGUUGAUCCAUCUGAGGGUCAAAGGAUCCAGGAUGUGAGAGCAGACUCUGCUGGACCUGGACCCAGCUGUGUGUCCAUGAAAAGUGAUCGGUCGAUGUUUGAGCCCAUUAAUUUCAAAGCUGAUCAGCCAUCUGAUGAUCAAAGGUAAGAAUCACUCUGGAAGUGUCUCCAUGCUGUGAUGAGCUCUGCUGGACUCUUGGGGUUGUAUGUGUCUGUUUGCUCUGCAGGUGGUUGAUGGUUUGGAGCAUCUGUAGCACAGAGUAAUGCAUAUUUACAGUGCUGCUUCAAAGUGUAUGAAUCAUUUAAAAUCUUCUAUAUGUCUGCAUAAACAUGACUUAAACAUCUGCCUCACUGUACUAGAAAGGCAGCCCACUGAAACAAAGUAUGGAAAGACAUUUCAGUAAUAAAACAUUUAAAUAAAUGAUAGAUUCA
rnacentral:lncRNA from 1 species